rnacentral:rRNA from 1 species
UUUGGCCGGUGGGGGAACCCCGGGAACUGGGGAUAAUACCCCAUAGACUAUGGAUGCUGGAAUGCUCUGUAGCCGAAAGGUCCGCCGCCGCAGGAUGAGUCUGCGGCCGAUUAGGUUGUUGUUGGGGUAACGGCCCAACAAGCCUGUAAUCGGUACGGGUUGUGGGAGCAAGAGCCCGGAGAUGGAUUCUGAGACACGAAUCCAGGCCCUACGGGGCGCAGCAGGCGCGAAAACUUUGCAAUGCGGGAAACCGUGACAAGGGAACUCCGAGUGCCCGUAAAUUCGGGCUGUCCGCCAGUGUAAACAACUGGUGAAGAAAGGGCCGGGCAAGACCGGUGCCAGCCGCCGCGGUAAUACCGGCGGCUCGAGUGGUGGCCACUAUUACUGGGCUUAAAGCGUUCGUAGCUGGCCUGUUAAGUCUCUGGGGAAAUCUUCCGGCUUAACCGGAAGGCGUCUCAGGGAUACUGGCAGGCUAGGGACCGGUAGAGGUGAGGGGUACUCCAGGGGUAGGAGUGAAAUCCUGUAAUCCUCGGGGGACCACCUGUGGCGAAGGCGCCUCACCAGAACGGCUCCGACAGUGAGGAACGAAAGCUGGGGGAGCAAACCGGAUUAGAUACCCGGGUAGUCCCAGCUGUAAACGAUGCGCGUUAGGUGUAUCGGUGACCACGAGUCACCGAGGUGCCGAAGGGAAACCGUGAAACGUGCCGCCUGGGAAGUACGGUCGCAAGGCUGAAACUUAAAGGAAUUGGCGGGGGAGCAC